rnacentral:lncRNA from 1 species
CUAACUCCAUGGUCUCGAACACCUUCGGAGAAUUAGGCUUUCCCUAAUCUAACCCCGAGAUGGCCCAUGCUUUAGUAUAGAUGCCACACAAACAAGCAACAAGCGUGAGGUAGCUCCACCUCUAACCUCCACGCACAUCUAGACUCAAAGCAUAACAAUCACUCGCCCUAGUCUAGACAAACACACACACAAACACUACUUAGCAUGAGGGAGCUUAACCUCAAACCUCGAUGCACCUAAGUCUAGACUAAAACUAAAUAACUAAGCGAGUGACAACUAAACAAACAACCAAUCAAUCACACAACAUGUAUGCAUGCAGCACAAACUUUCCCCGGGGCCCUGCAGAAAAUCGAUUAACUAUGCCCCGAGUCUCCGUUUAAGACCCGUUGGUCAAGCUCGAACCUGCAUACAAAACACAACACAAGAAACACACAGGAAACCCACCUUGACAAUGCUUCUCCAAUCGGUGGUCGCCAUGUCAUCGCGUCUUCACUUUCUUCGCCAUGUCAACAACUUCUAAACCUCUUCUUCAAAUGAGAAAACUCAUUCCUUGAUUUACUUAGACAAUGGUUCUCCUUCUUCGGUUUCAAAACGUUGUUCUCCUCUUGCUCGGUUUUUAUUGAUUUUCUCGUACCGGCAGAAAACUGUCUUUCGACCAUGACCGUUCCUCGUUUCGACCACGACUAAGGUCAAGGUCUUUGACUUUUCUACUUAUGAGCAGGGUCAUUACAUUCUCCCCCACUCAUUAGAAUUCGUCCCCGAAUUCUAAGGUGCUGAUGACGUCGCUGCUUCAUCUUCGAAGAACUCUGGAUAGUUCUGACGAAAUCUGUCUUCAUCUUCCCAUGUUAUCACCAAGCGGUUUUGUCUUCCCCAAAAGACUUGGAUUUUAGGAAUCUCCCUAUUCUUCAGCAUCUUCAAACGUCGUUCCCCGAUGCGUAUCGGCCCUUCUGGAUAUGUGAGAUUUGUCCUCAGCUCUGGGAUUCUCUCAGGCUCGAUAGAAUCAGGAUCUCGAAUGUGCCUUCUCAGCAUAGAUACAUGAAAUACAGGGUGUAAAUUCAUGUCUUCUGGCAGCUCUAGCCUGUAAGCUACUUCUCCUACUCUUCCAAUGAUCCAGUAUGGACCAAUGAAACGAACUGCUAACUUCCCAACUUUGCCGAAAUGAUCCUUUCCUUUCUGAGCUGAUACCUUGAGAUAGACCAUAUCUCCAACUGCAAAUACUACUUCUCGCCUUCUUUGAUCCGCGUUCUUCUUCUGUCGAUCAUGUGCCUUCUUCAUGUUUGCUCGGAUGACUUGCAGCUUCUCCAAUGUUUCUUCAAUGACUCCUGGUCUGAAUAAUCUUCGUUCUCCAACUUCCGUCCAACAUAGAGGUGUUCGACAGGGUCUUCCGUACAAUGCCUCGUAUGGUGACAUUGCAAUGCUGGCGUGGAAACUAUUGUUGUAGGAAAAUUCUAUCAAAGGUAGAUAGUUCUCCCACGUACCUGACCAAUCGAGAAUACACAAACGUAGCAUAUCCUCUAUUGUCUGGAUGGUCCUCUCCGUCUGCCCGUCCGUUUCUGGGUGAAAUGCAGUACUGAUGUGCAACUCCGUACCCAACGCUCCUUGCAAUGCUCUCCAGAAUGCUGCUGUAAAUCUUGGAUCUCGAUCUGAGACAAUGUUUGCUGGUACUCCGUGUAGCUUCACAAUCUGAUUGAUGUAAAGUUCCGCCAAUGUCUCCGUCUUGUCUGUGUCUCUGAUUGCUAACAAAUGUGCUACCUUUGUCAGCCGAUCCAUGAUAACCCAAAUUGCAUUUGAUCUUCCUCUGGCCACUGGUAAUCCUGUGAUUAGAUCCAUGGACACUGAAUCCCACUUCCACUCGGGAAUAGGUAAGCUUUGAAGUAACCCUCCUGGCACUUGGUGUUCGGCUUUGAUUUGCUGCCAAACUUGACACUGCGCUACCCAUCUUGCUACUGACUUCUUCAUUCCUGGCCAAUGGUAAUAUCUCCUUAUAUCUCUAUACAUCUUGGUGCUUCCAGGAUGUAUACUCAAAAGUGACUGAUGCGCUAACUUGAGAAUUUCCUCCUUGAAUCCACCCUCCUUUGGCACAGUGAUUCUUCCGUUGAGUAGCAAUGUUCCGUCUUCUGCCAUAUGAUAUCCACUAGCAUUUGGCCCUCCUUGCUCUCGUAGCUGCUCCAUGAUGAUCUUCAGGUUCUCGUCUUGCUGCUGCGCUCCUCGAAUACGUUGUAUCAAACUGGCUUGGUUCACGGCUUGCAUUCCCAAUGGUUCACUAGAUUCUCCUUCCAGUGCAGCUAAAGUUACCUUCUUGAAUUCGUCUGAUAACUUCUCCAAAUCUCGCUCUGAGUCUACUACAGCUCUUCGUCGACUCAAUGCAUCUGCAACCACGUUUGCUUUUCCUGGGUGAUACUGAAUCUGAACGUCGUAGUCCGCAAUGAAUUCCAUCCACCGUCUUUGUCGCAAAUUCAGAUCCGCCUGAGUGAACAAGUAUUUAAGGCUUUUGUGAUCCGUAAAUACCUGAACGCUUUCUCCAUAAAGAUACGAGCGCCAUAUCUUUAAUGCAAAAACAACGGCCGCCAUCUCCAGAUCGUGUGUGGGGUAGUUCUCCUCGUGCUUCUUCAACUGUCUUGAGGCGUAUGCAAUGACUCUGUUUUCUUGCAUUAACACACACCCUAAUCCUACCCGCGAUGCGUCAGUAUACACAACAUAUGGCUUACCCGGCUGAGGUAAGGCAAGAACUGGUGCCGUAGUCAAUGCCUCCUUGAGUUUGUUGAAAGCUCUCUCCGUAUGCUCAUCCCAAAGAAAUGGGACUUCCUUUCCCGUCAAUCGUGUCAAAGGUUUCGCGAUUGAUGAGAAAGCUUGCACGAACUUUUGGUAAUAGCCUGCCAAUCCGAGGAAACUUCUGAUCUCCGUUACUGAGGUUGGACAAGGCCACUUCUGGAUGACUUCAAUCUUCUCUGGAUCCACCGAAACUCCUUCCUUGGAAACUCUAUGACCUAAGAAACCAAUCUCGCGCUUCCAGAAUCGACACUUGCUGAGCUUAGCAAACAACUUCCGGUCUCUUAGUCUCUCAAGUACCAUCCUCAGAUGCUCCUUGUGCUCCUCCUCGCUCCGUGAGUAGAUGAGUAUGUCGUCGAUGAACACAAUCACGAACUUGUCGAGGUAGUCGUGAAAUACUUCAUUCAUCAACCUCAUGAAUACUGCUGGUGCGUUGGUUAACCCGAAUGGCAUUACAACGAACUCAAACUGGCCGUACCAAGUGUUGAAUGCUGUCUUCAUUACGUCGUUCUCUGCUAUCGGAAUUUGGUGAUAUCCCGAAGCCAAAUCUAUCUUCGAGAACAAACUCGCUCCUCUUAGUUGAUCCAACAAUUCAUCGAUCCUAGGUAAAGGGUACUUAUCCUUGAUCGUGACAUUGUUGAUUCCUCUGUAGUCGAUGCACAAUCUCAUGCUGCCAUCCUUCUUCUUCACAAACAAAACCGGAGCUCCCCAAGGUGAAGAACUUGGUCUGAUGAAACCUUUGUCUAGUAAAUCCUCCAACUGCUUCUUGAGCUCUGCUAACUCUGCUGGUGCCAUGCGGUAAGGUGCCUUGGCGAUAGGUGCAGCGCUCAGUUCUAAGUUGAUGGUGAACGGGUUACUCCGAGGUGGUGGUAACUCCGUUAACGCCCGAAACACGUCUUUAAACUCUUGGACCACUGGAAUGUCUUCCAUUCUCAAUUCCUUUCCUGUCUCCUCUCCGAUGUACGUAAGCGAUACCAAGUAGACCUCGCCGUCCACUAAGGCUCUCUCUGCUCUCAUUGCUGUGACGAACGUUGCUGAGACGCUAGGCUUGAUCCCAUAAUACGCCAAUACUCCUCGAUGGUCGUCUUCAAAGAAAACUCUUCCUCUUGCACAGUCCAGCCACGCCCGAUGCCUUGACAGCCAAUCCAUUCCUAAAAUAACCUCGAAACCUUCUAAGGGCAUGACCACUAGGUUGGCUAAAAGGGUUGCGUGUAAAAGCACAAUAGGCACAUCCAACAACACCUUUUCAGCUUUCAAGGUUUCAAGGUUUGGCCUCCAGGGGUUAACACCGAGAUAUCAAUAUCACGGGUCACAAGGGUUCCUACAAAUCUAGAGGCUACUACUGGGUUCACAAAAUUAUGGGUGGCUCCCGAAUCAAACAAAACAACAGCAGGGGUUCCACCAACCAACAAUGAUCCUAACAAAGAUCAACACACUAGCAUUCAUCCAGAAUGCUAACACAACAAACUACAAACUACUAACUACUCUACACAGAAAUAAACACGCAAAAGAGAGUUAGCACCCAAACAAACCUGUCACAGGACCUCUCGACGGUCCCGAAGCACUAGAUGGAGUUUCCUCCAUCUCCAAGGCAUAGACUCUCCCUUCGGAUGCAGGACGCCCGGCUGGGUGUUCUCUGGUCGGUCGGUUUGGUUGGGUACGCGCAGACGAUCCUCUUCCCUGUCCUGGACGGUUCACAGUACACUCGUUGGCGAAAUGACCUUUCUCUCCACAGCUGUAGCAAGUAACCGAUGCCUUCCAAUCCGUCUUCUCAGCCGUUGAGUUGGUGCAUUCACGAGAGUAAUGUCCCAACUGACCACAAUUGUAGCAUGUCACCUGUGCCUUCGGCUUCUUUCCAUGUCGUUUGAACUGACCCUUUCUUCCUUUCUUCUGGUUGGUUCGCAACUUAUCAUCCUUGGACUGACUGCUCUGAGGUUUGGGGUUUGAUCCAACGGUUGGUUCACGUUCAGCUGCUACCAUCUCCUCCACGUUGACUGCUUUCUCUAUUAACUCGAACAAACUCACAAAGUUGACGGCUUGUAGACAACUCCCGAUCUCUGGCUUAAGACCUCGUAAGAACUUACGAACUAACACCGCUUCAUCUCCGUCCUCGUAGUAGAUGUAUCGACUGAGCUUGAGAAAUUCUGAUUCGUACUCCCUAACACUCCUUUCACCUUGCUCCAAUCGAAGAAAUGCUUGCUCCAUUCUGUCUCUUGCUUCUGGAGGAAAAUACUUCCUCUGAAAUUCCUGCUUGAAUGCAUCCCAAUCCAUGUCUUCUACUCCUUGUCUUCGUGUGAUACUCUCCCACCAAGACAUUGCGUCUUUCUCCAAGUAAUGCACAGCUACGUCUUUCUUGUACUUGUAUGGACACCUGGUGGUUGAGAAGUUCUUCUCUACACGCCGUAGCCAUGUAUCUGCUUUGAAGGUGUCGGCUUCUCCUUCGAACUUAUAGGUACCCAUGUUCUUCAUCGUAAGACCAUACUUCAGGAAGUCUGGUUGUCGAGUUUCAGGUUGAUUUGCUUCUGGAUUUGGGGUAACUUUGUUGGUUAAGACUUUAGACAAAAGGUUAUGUACCAUAGAUAAGGUUGGAUCUGCUGGUCUACUUCCUUCUGCUGGAGCUGGUGCAGGUGCUUGCGUAGGUGUAGCCGGCUCUGCUGGUCUUGAGUUGAUUCUAAUUGAUGUAGAUCCUUCCGAGUUUGCAUGAGAUGAAUGGGGUCUCUGUGGUCCAACGAAUGGUUCUGAUUCCACAUGCUGAGAUAUGGGUGGUGAUACUGAUAAUCACCACGCUACAGGAGAUACGUUCUCCUCACUGUGAGCACGUUCAACGCCUUCCAUAGGCCUUGGUCCACUGUCGCCAGUUUGGUUUGCUGAAUUCGGAGCAUCCCAGAAGUUGUGGUAGUUUGCGUACCUCGACCCAUCCUGAACGACCAGCCUGCUCCUGAUCUUUGAUUAGACAUCUGCACGGUUUCAAGGGUUAAUCCUAAAGAAAGAAAAAUUCCCAAGGAACUAAUCCUAAAACUACUCCCUAAAAACCCUAAGCGGAACGGACCGGUUUCCUAAUGUGGCAUAAGCGACUCAUUUUGAAAAAUGUUGCGGUUUAAGAGCAUGAUCGGAAACACCCUCUGAUACAACCAUUUGUAACACCCCCGGACCGUACCAGGCCGGACUAACCCAGUACAUCCCGGGAGCGCCACAAGUAUAGCUCACCGUACCGGUUCGACCAAGAAUCAAGAACAAGUCAAGACUCUCGACCAAUCCGUUCCAGUUUGCUAUGACCUCGAUGUCAUGGCCUAAGGCUUCACAACCCAUACCACAAUCAUCGAGUUGUAUCGACCCGGACAAGGUCUAAUAUCAUUUAACACACAACUACGAAUAUAAACAUACAUUUUAUUAAUAAUAGGUAGAAAGUGUUUUACAAAACAUUACAAUACAAAAUACCAGAGUUUGAGCUCACGGCCUAGUGCCAAAAUGAAAAGAAAGUAAUUAUACAUUCCAAAAGAUAGUCCGCUUAUGCUUAUGCCACUUCCAAUCUACACCGGCCGCUUCCCGUUCCGCUGCGCCCUAAGCUUCCUACCUACGGGUUACCUGUAUAGUAGAAGAGGGGAUGAGUAAUCGGAAAUACUCAGUGAGUUCCAAAAAUAAACAACAACGACCCCCUUCAGCCCAUGCCUCAAACACAAUCAACAAUUGGUUAGUAAACAACACAGCAGAAGCAACAAACAAACAAGCAAGCAAGCAAGCAAACAAGCAAUUACUAAACAAACAAAUGGUCUCACCACUGAGGCCUAACUACACAAAAAGAAAGCUAGACUCGAUCCUAGACUCGAUCUACACAAACAAAAAUUCGGAUGACACACAUCCUGGGAUCCCAACACCUCGGAGCCCUAACACAUCUCCAUACUGAACACUCCCGAUCACAAACACAACAGUCACAUGGUCGGAAAACAUCAUCUCCGGGAAUUAGGCUUCUCCCAAUCUAACCCGGGCCGCAUCGUCAUGCAGCGCUUGUCCAUGGGCGCGACCCACUUCAUGUGACAAGCCAUGGAGAGUAGAUCACUCCACCACUAGAGAAUUGGGUAUCGCCCAAUCUAACUCCAUGGUCUCGAACACCUUCGGAGAAUUAGGCUUUCCCUAAUCUAACCCCGAGAUGGCCCAUGCUUUAGUCUAGAUGCCACACAAACAAGCAACAAGCGUGAGGGAGCUCCACCUCUAACCUCCACGCACAUCUAGACUCAAAGCAUAACAAUCACUCGCCCUAGUCUAGACAAACACACAAACAAUACUUAGCAUGAGGGAGCUUAACCUCAAACCUCGAUGCACCUAAGUCUAGACUAAAACUAAAUAACUAAGCGAGUGACAACUAAACAAACAAC